GUUAUAUGGUCAAGUGAAGAAGCGCAUACGGUGGAUGCCUUGGCAGUCAGAGGCGAUGAAAGACGUGGUAGCCUGCGAAAAGCUUCGGGGAGUCGGCAAACAGACUGUGAUCCGGAGAUGUCUGAAUGGGGGAACCCAGCCAUCAUAAGAUGGUUAUAUUGUACUGAAUACAUAGGUGCAAGAGGCGAACCAGGGGAACUGAAACAUCUAAGUACCCUGAGGAAAAGAAAUCAACCGAGAUUCCCUUAGUAGUGGCGAGCGAACGGGGACCAGCCCUUAAGUUGUAUUGAGAUUAGCGGAACACUCUGGAAAGGGUGGCCAUAGUGGGUGAUAGCCCUGUACGCGAAAAUCCCUUUGCAAUGAAAUCGAGUAGGACGGGGCACGAGAAACCUUGUCUGAAUAUGGGGGGACCAUCCUCCAAGGCUAAAUACUACUGACUGACCGAUAGUGAACCAGUACCGUGAGGGAAAGGCGAAAAGAACCGCGGAGAGCGGAGUGAAAUAGAUCCUGAAACCGUAUGCGUACAAGCAGUGGGAGCCCACUUUGUUGGGUGACUGCGUACCUUUUGUAUAAUGGGUCAGCGACUUAUUUUCAGUGGCGAGCUUAACCGAAUAGGGGAGGCGUAGCGAAAGCGAGUCUUAAUAGGGCGUCUAGUCGCUGGGAAUAGACCCGAAACCGGGCGAUCUAUCCAUGGGCAGGUUGAAGGUUGGGUAACACUAACUGGAGGACCGAACCGACUACCGUUGAAAAGUUAGCGGAUGACCUGUGGAUCGGAGUGAAAGGCUAAUCAAGCUCGGAGAUAGCUGGUUCUCCUCGAAAGCUAUUUAGGUAGCGCCUCAUGUAUCACUGUAGGGGGUAGAGCACUGUUUCGGCUAGGGGGUCAUCCCGACUUACCAAACCGAUGCAAACUCCGAAUACCUACAAGUGCCGAGCAUGGGAGACACACGGCGGGUGCUAACGUCCGUCGUGAAAAGGGAAACAACCCAGACCGUCAGCUAAGGUCCCAAAGUCAUGGUUAAGUGGGAAACGAUGUGGGAAGGCUUAGACAGCUAGGAGGUUGGCUUAGAAGCAGCCACCCUUUAAAGAAAGCGUAAUAGCUCACUAGUCGAGUCGGCCUGCGCGGAAGAUGUAACGGGGCUCAAACCAUGCACCGAAGCUACGGGUAUCAUCUUUUGAUGAUGCGGUAGAGGAGCGUUCUGUAAGCCUGUGAAGGUGAGUUGAGAAGCUUGCUGGAGGUAUCAGAAGUGCGAAUGCUGACAUGAGUAACGACAAUGGGUGUGAAAAACACCCACGCCGAAAGACCAAGGUUUCCUGCGCAACGUUAAUCGACGCAGGGUUAGUCGGUCCCUAAGGCGAGGCUGAAAAGCGUAGUCGAUGGAAAACAGGUUAAUAUUCCUGUACUUCUGGUUAUUGCGAUGGAGGGACGGAGAAGGCUAGGCCAGCCUGGCGUUGGUUGUCCAGGUUUAAGGUGGUAGGCUGAGAUCUUAGGUAAAUCCGGGAUCUUAAGGCCGAGAGCUGAUGACGAGUGUUCUUUUAGAACACGAAGUGGUUGAUGCCAUGCUUCCAAGAAAAGCUUCUAAGCUUCAGGUAACCAGGAACCGUACCCCAAACCGACACAGGUGGUUGGGUAGAGAAUACCAAGGCGCUUGAGAGAACUCGGGUGAAGGAACUAGGCAAAAUGGCACCGUAACUUCGGGAGAAGGUGCGCCGGUGAGGGUGAAGCAUUUACUGCGUAAGC
rnacentral:rRNA from 1 species